rnacentral:rRNA from 1 species
UGCAAGUCGAGCGAACAGAAGGGAGCUUGCUCCCGGAUGUUAGCGGCGGACGGGUGAGUAACACGUGGGUAACCUGCCUGUAAGACUGGGAUAACUCCGGGAAACCGGAGCUAAUACCGGAUAGUUCCUUGAACCGCAUGGUUCAAGGAUGAAAGACGGUUUCGGCUGUCACUUACAGAUGGACCCGCGGCGCAUUAGCUAGUUGGUGGGGUAAUGGCUCACCAAGGCGACGAUGCGUAGCCGACCUGAGAGGGUGAUCGGCCACACUGGGACUGAGACACGGCCCAGACUCCUACGGGAGGCAGCAGUAGGGAAUCUUCCGCAAUGGACGAAAGUCUGACGGAGCAACGCCGCGUGAGUGAUGAAGGUUUUCGGAUCGUAAAGCUCUGUUGUUAGGGAAGAACAAGUGCGAGAGUAACUGCUCGCACCUUGACGGUACCUAACCAGAAAGCCACGGCUAACUACGUGCCAGCAGCCGCGGUAAUACGUAGGUGGCAAGCGUUGUCCGGAAUUAUUGGGCGUAAAGGGCUCGCAGGCGGUUUCUUAAGUCUGAUGUGAAAGCCCCCGGCUCAACCGGGGAGGGUCAUUGGAAACUGGGAAACUUGAGUGCAGAAGAGGAGAGUGGAAUUCCACGUGUAGCGGUGAAAUGCGUAGAGAUGUGGAGGAACACCAGUGGCGAAGGCGACUCUCUGGUCUGUAACUGACGCUGAGGAGCGAAAGCGUGGGGAGCGAACAGGAUUAGAUACCCUGGUAGUCCACGCCGUAAACGAUGAGUGCUAAGUGUUAGGGGGUUUCCGCCCCUUAGUGCUGCAGCUAACGCAUUAAGCACUCCGCCUGGGGAGUACGGUCGCAAGACUGAAACUCAAGGAAUUGACGGGGGCCCGCACAAGCGUGAGCAUGUGGUUUAUUCGAAGCAACGCGAAGAACCUUACCAGUCUUGACAUCCUCCUGACAACCCUAGAGAUCGGGCUUUCCCUUCGGGGACCGAGUGACAGGUGGAGCAGGGUGGGGG